AUUCAAUGGGUGGCUCGGUGGCCAUAGGGAGAGCUCAGGAGAGGAUGAUGGGAGUGCAGAGGCAAGGACGAGAAUGUAGCAUGUAUUUUAUUAAUCAUAUGUCUUAGUAGAGAACAAGAAAAACUAUAAGCAAGUAAAGUGGGGUAUAUAGCAGGAUAGAUGGAUAUGUAGGAGUGUAGGCAAUCUUUUCACCCCUGCCUCUCCAUCCUGUUCGUUAUUUGAGACUGAAGGCAAUCUUUCCACCCCUGCCUCUCCAUCCUGUUCAUUAUUUGAGACUGAAGGCAAUCUUUCCACCCCUGCCUCUCCAUCCUGUUCAUUAUUUGAGACUGAAGGCAAUCUUUCCACCCCUGCCUCUCCGUCCUGUUCAUUAUUUGAGAUUGGGCAAUCUUUCCACCCCUGCCUCUCAUUUCUAUUCACCAUCUCUGUUUUUUUUAAUGAUUUAAUGUUGUAAACUUUACUCUUAAGGACUGAUGAAUAGGAUUCUUUGCAACACCCAUAAAAAUGUGUGUUUACCUGACCAUGCACAUCAUACUGAUUAGUAUACCCAUUAGGCUGAAGAAACUACUCCUGAGGUCAUUAUCAUUUGUGCUUUACCAUUUUUCUCAUUUUUUACCAUUAUCUUCAUUAUCAUUUGUGCUUUACCAUUUUUCUCAUUUUUUUUUCAUGAGGUUGGACAUUCAGUGACUGUCCUCUACCUGUCUCCAUCAAUGCUUCCUGCUAAGGGCCAGUUCCACUUUGUAAACACCUGAACCAAACACUGAAAACAAGGAAUAUUUUUUGCUUAAUGUUUAAGUACAGAUAGGAAAUUUGAGGAAGCUAUACAGGGAAUCUCUUUAGUAUUGGGUGCUGUGUACAAACCCUGACCUUUAUCAAGAGUUGGUUUGGUGCUUCCAGUGACACUACUGGUGUCUGGGCAUUGCCCUAAGAGUACCUCAGCCCUAAGAGUGGCUCAGCCCCAGAGUGGGUUGGCCUAAAAAUGGUUCAGCCCUAAGAGUGCUUCAGCCCUAAGAGUGCUUCAGCCCUAAGAGUUCCUCAGCCCUAAGAAUGCUUCAGCCCUAAGAAUUCCUCAUCCGUAAGAGUUCCUCAGCCCUAAGAGUGCAUUGGCCUAAGAAUGGCUCAGCCCGAAGAGUGGGUUGCCCUAAGAAUGGCUCAGCCCGAAGAGUAGGUUGGCCCUAAGAAUGGCUCAGCCCUAAGAGUGGGUUGGCCCUAAGAAUGGCUCAGCCCUAAGAGUGGGUUGGCCCUAAGAAUGGCUCAGCCCUAAGAGUGGGUUGGCCCUAAGAAUGGCUCAGCCCUAAGAGUGGGUUGGCCCUAAGAAUGGCUCAGCCCUAAGAUUGAGUUGGCCUAAGAAUAGCUCAACCCUAAGAGUGGGUCGACCCCCAAAAUGGCUCAACCCUUAGUGGCUCAGUCUCCCUCAGGUGUGAAAAUUAACUGAUAACAAAGUAUAAAAUGUUUAUCAAUCUUUAUUUUGAAUGCAGUGGAUUUUUUUUGCCGCCUAGUUUUCCACAGCACUAGGACUUCCUGCUAUGAGUACUGUUUGGAGUAGUGCGUAUAGACUGGUGAACCCCCCCACUAAGGUGCUUGAC